rnacentral:lncRNA from 1 species
GAAAUCAAGCAAGCUAUGAAGUAAGAGCUGCCAAGUAAGAAAGAUAGAGAUGUCAUAGUAGUAAGAUGUAGCGAGGGAUAAAGAGUUGUACCAAGUUUAUAGUUGUGGAUAAGGGUUGAGUUACCCCAUUGUGAGUGUAAUAUCUCUAGUCUGUGAAGGUCCUCAAGAGUGUGGGUAAUAGAGCCACCACAUGACGGUUCCUACAAUUCACCUUGGAGCCGAGGUAGCCCUCGAAUUUUUAACAUUGGUUGCCCACACGACGGUUCCUACAAUUCAUCUUGGGGCUAAGGUAGAUCUCGGAUUUUCAACAUUGAGUGUAUUAGGUCAGUUUGGCAACAUACACUAAAAGUGAAUUUCAACUGCAUUAUGUGAUGGAAAGAGGGGAAAAUAAGCGGCAACAUAAAGUAUUGACUCUAUAUUACAUGGAUCAACUAAUGUAGGCAAUAGUUGAUGCACCUUGCCUAAUUCAAACACUGGAGUAACAAGUAAGAACAAGUUCAUUUACAUAAGUGAAAGGUUUCAAAAUAUGGAAACGGCGAAGACACCGCACUUAUUCGAUUCCAUGGUGGACCAGUGGCGCCGCGUUAGUGUUAUGUUUCUUUAGUAUAUGCGUCGUUGUUAAGUGGUGCUCCAAAUUCAUCUUAAGUAUGUAGGCUAACUUUUGAUGGAGCGGAGCAAAGGCCUGUCGCUGGGAGGCUUGGGCCACAGGGGGACCCCCCGCCCACCACCACCCCCACCCACGCGCGGGCCUUCUGUUGUUUACUCCCUUUGCAUUGAAAUUUCUUUCCACAUUAAAUCUUGUGUCCUUUGUGUUGAUUUGAUCUAACUAGCGUGUCUUAUCUUUAACGGGCGGCUCAACGAGCAACAUGAUGAGGACGAUCGAUCUGUAGGGUUUAGACCACAUGGCUAUGCAUCAUGACCUCUAUGUCCUUUCCUCAUCUUACCUAAUAAUAAAAGCAAAUAUAGCUUCUGUCGUCUGUCAUAAAAAGUACCCCUAAUGUUUGCAUGAAUUACCCCCUUAUGCCACCGACAAGUGAAAACACCGAUUCGUUUUUGAACUCCGAUUCAUCUCUUCCUUUUAAUUCCACAGUCCACGGCCCUUGGUUUCAUCACAAGCACAUGAUCAACCCAACUGGUUGGGCAAUCGUGUUUCCGCUCUUGAGACCCCGGUUUGAUCCCAUGAUCUCCCACCUUUUCUUAUUCGGGUCAGGCAGCCGAGCCUUCAGCUAUUUUUUUCUUUUUUUUGCACUUCUUCUAUGUGUUUUUUUUUCUCUUUUGGCUUUAUUUCAAUAAACUUUGCAAAAAUAUUAAUCAUGGAUUAAAGAAAUGUCAAACUUAUAGACAAAAAAGGUUAAUAAUAUACAGUGCGUAUGGAUAAUAAAUAAUAUAUUUUUCUUUUAUUUUGAAAAAUAUUGGUCAUGUAUUUAAGAAACUUUAAAUGUGCAAAGAAAAUUGUUUCCGAUGUACAAGAAAAAUAUAUACAAUGUAUAUGGAACAAAGUAAACACAAAAAAUUAUAACUUUUUUAAAWWGUUAAUCGUGUAUUUGGAUAAUGUCAAACAUGUCUAUAAAAAAAUGUUCAUGAUGCAUACAAAAUAUGUAGACUGAGUAUAAAAAAAAAUGCUAGACAUCAAAACUAAAUAUGUUUUAACAUGUUAACCAUGAAAUUGGAAAAUAUUAAACGUGUAUAUAUAAGAUGUUUUUUAUGUCGCCCUCAAAAUAGAAAUGUUUUUAAUGUAUAAAAAAAUGUAAAAUGUUGCUUAUACAAGCUUUACGUAAACCAAUGGCUUAGCUUUGAUUUUUCAUAUUGUUUUAAACUGUUUUGCUAAUGAUUUUUUAAGAAUAUCGAUGUAUAAAAAAUGUAAAAAUGUUGCAUAGAAAUUCAACGCCACCAUUAUGUUUCAAACGGUGAGUCAGAUGGUUCAACGAAUUUGUGACGUGUACAAAAAUAGCCACGCCAGCACUAACCGUUUACAGUCGACUUAUCAAUUUAAACGAUGCUAGCACUAUUUAAAAAAAGUAAUGGCGGGUAUUAUGAAAAUAAUGUGCCACCAACAGGAGUUGUGGCUAGUCAGUUUUCACUACUGUCAUUCGAAUCCAUGGUGGAUCAGUGUCGCUGCCAGCUUUUCAAUGAGCAGCUAAUAACAUGCAUGAACAGUUACAUUGCAAAAGGAUCGAUCGCAUACGGAGUCACCAAGAAUCACAUCACAACAUUAACUUAGCGUGGAUAAUUUUACACCAUCUCUAUCUUAAAAUAAAUGAUUCAACUUUAUACUUUUUUUGGAUUCGUGAUACACCGGCAAGGGAGGGUAAUUUUNNNNNNNNNNNNNNNNNNNNNNNNNNNNNNNNNNNNNNNNNNNNNNNNNNNNNNNNNNNNNNNNNNNNNNNNNNNNNNNNNNNNNNNNNNNNNNNNNNNNGAGAGAUUGUCUGUUUUGUACACGAAGUGCAUCCUGUUUUUUGUCAUAACCCUCUCAACUUUUUUAACACAUGCUAUGUGGGUGAAAUAGAUGAUACCAUGCCAACUUUCAACAUUUUCUAGAGUUCAUUUGUAGUGCUUCUCUAUUUCAGGGUCAACUAGCUCAAAAAAAUAAGUAAAUGCACGAAAAAUAUCAAAUGAAGUCUGAAAUUGUUGAAAUUUUGUGAUGUGCCUUUUGAAUGKUGCAUUUUUGAACACACAAACAAUAUGGAGUUCAAAUAAGUUCAAAAAAAUGAAAAUCCCUUCGUAACAGAUGAGUUCUUGUUCGAAACCCUCAUACUUCGAGAGAGAUUGUCCGUUUUGUACACGAAGUGCAUACAGUUUUUUGUCGUAACCCUCUCAACUUUUUAGCACAUGCUAUGUGGGUGAAAUGAUGAUAUCAUGCCAACUUUCAACAUUUUCAGAGUUUAGUUGUAGUGUUUUUCAAUUUCAGGGUCAACUAGCUCAAAAAACAUAAAUGCACGAAAAAUACGAAAUGAAGGCAGAAAUUAUUGAAAAUUUGUGAUGUGCCUUUGAAUGGUGCAUUUUGAACACAUAAAAAUUAUGAAGUUUAAAUAAGUUCAAAAAAAUGAAAUCCCUUUGUAACACAUGAGUUCUCGUUUCAAACCUCAUACUUCAAGAUAUAUUUUCCGUUUUGUACACGAAGUGCAUACAAUUUUUUUCGAAACCCUCUAAACUUUUUAGCACAUGUUGUAUGGCUGAAAUGAUGAUACCAUGCCAACUUUCAACAUUUUCAGAGUUCAUUUAUAGUGCUUUUCAAUUUUAGGGUCAACUAGCUCAAAAAAAUAAGUAAAUGCACGAAAAAUAUCAAAUGAAGUCACAAACUUCAUAAAGUUUUUUUGUUAAAAUAUUCAAUAGAAAACAAAAAAAGAGUUAACUAAAAAGAAUCAACUAAACAUUAACUAAAACGAAUGAACUAAAAAUAAUCAACUAAAAUUAUCAAAGUGCUUAUUUGUUAAAAAGAAUCAAGUAAAACAUUAACUGAAAAGAAACAAAAAAGAUCAAUUCAAAAGAACUUUCAUAAAUUUUUUUGGUUAAAAUAAUUAAUAGAAAACUAAAAUAAAAGAGAAAAAAAUAUUUGAUAGCAAAAAAUGAAAUUAAAUUAUUCACAAAUUUCAAAGAAUUCAAAUUUGAAAACUAAAUAUUUAGGUGUAAGUAUUUAGGUGUAAGUACAAAAAAACAAAAUAAAUGAAGAAAAGAACAAAACAAAAAUAAUGGAAAAAUUGAAAAUAGAUGAGAAUUUAUAGAGAAAAUUCAACCCAAACCCAAAUUUGAAAACUAAAAAUUUAGGUUGAAUUUGUCUUUAAAUUCACAUAUAUUUUCAAUUUUUAAAUUUAGGCACAGAGACCGCGUUUAGGCCCGUAAGCCUGCUUUAAAGAGGAGGUCGAAAGAGCACGCGCAGCGGAGCUCAAAAGGUAGAGAGAGCCCCUCGCUCGGCAAGGUGGGACUAAACAAUGCGUGUCUUGCGCCGGAGCCAGCCCAGGUCUUUAGUCCCGGGUCGUGGCUUGAACCGGGACUAAAGACCCCCUNNNNNNNNNNNNNNNNNNNNNNNNNNNNNNNNNNNNNNNNNNNNNNNNNNNNNNNNNNNNNNNNNNNNNNNNNNNNNNNNNNNNNNNNNNNNNNNNNNNNAUACGAACUGUGGUAUGGCAAAAGGCCAAAGUUGUCGUUUCUUAAAGUUUGGGGAUGUGAUGCUUAUGUCAAAAAGCUUCAGCCUGAAAAGCUGGAACCCAAAGCGGAAAAGUGCGUCUUCUUAGGUUACCCAAAAGAGACAGUUGGGUACACCUUCUAUCUCAAAUCCGAAGGCAAAGUGUUUGUUGCUAAGAACGGAACUUUUCUCGAGAAGGAGUUUCUCUCGAGAGAAUUGAGUGGGAGGAAGAUAGAACUUGACGAGGUUGUCGAACCUCUCAUCCCUCUGGAUGGUGGCGCAGGGCAAGGGGAAACCUCUGUCAUUGCGACGCCGGUUGAGGAGGAAGUUAAUGAUGAUGAUCAUGAAACUCCAGUUCAAGUUUUUGUUGAACCACGCAGGUCGACGAGAUCACGCGCUGCUCCAGAGUGGUACGGUAAUCCCGUCUUAUCAAUCAUGUUGUUAGACAACAAUGAACCUGCAAAUUAUGAAGAAGCAAUGGUGGGCCCAGAUUCCAACAAAUGGCUAGAAGCCAUGAAAUCCGAGAUAGGAUCCAUGUAUGAGAACAAAGUGUGGACUUUGGAGAUACUGCCUGAGGGCCGCAAGGCUAUUCAGAACAAAUGGAUCUUUAAGAAGAAGACGGACGCUGACGGUAAUUUGACCGUUUAUAAAGCUCGACUUGUGGCAAAGGGUUUUUCACAAGUUCCAGGAAUUGACUACGAUGAGACUUUCUCUCCCGUAGCGAUGCUUAAGUCCGUCAGAAUCAUGUUAGCAAUAGCUGCAUUUUUCGAUUAUGAAAUCUGGCAGAUGGAUGUCAAAACAGCAUUCCUUAACGGUUUCCUUAAGGAAGAGUUGUAUAUGAUGCAACCCGAAGGUUUUGUCGAUCCUAAAAAUGCUGACAAGGUGUGCGAGCUCCAGCGAUCCAUUUAUGGACUGGUGCAAGCAUCUCGGAGUUGGAACAAACGCUUUGAUGAGGUGAUCAAAGCAUUUGGGUUUAUACAAGUGGUUGGAGAAUCUUGUAUUUACAAGAAAGUGAGUGGGAGCUCUGUGGCGUUUCUAAUAUUAUAUGUGGAUGACAUAUUACUGAUUGGAAACAAUGUAGAGCUUUUGGAGAGCAUAAAAGGUUACUUGAAUAAAAGUUUCUCUAUGAAGGACCUAGGAGAAGCUGCUUACAUACUAGGCAUUAAGAUCUAUAGGGAUAGAUCAAAACGCCUGAUAGGACUUUCACAAAGCACGUACCUUGAUAAAGUUUUGAAGAGGUUCAAAAUGGAACAGUCCAAGAAAGGGUUCUUGCCAGUGUUACAAGGUACGAGAUUGAGUAAGACUCAGUGCCCAGCAACUGAUGAAGAUAGAGAGCAUAUGCACUCCGUCCCCUAUGCUUCAGCCAUAGGCUCUAUCAUGUAUGCAAUGCUGUGCACUAGACCGGAUGUUAGCCUGGCCAUAAGUAUGGCAGGUAGGUUCCAGAGUAAUCCAGGAGUGGAUCACUGGACGGCGGUCAAGAAUAUCCUGAAGUACCUGAAAAGGACUAAGGAGAUGUUUCUCGUGUAUGGAGGUGACGAAGAGCUCGCCGUAAAAGGUUACGUCGAUGCAAGCUUUGAUACAUAUCCGGACGACUCUAAGUCGCAAACCGGAUACGUAUUUAUUCUUAAUGGGGGUGAAGUAAGCUGGUGCAGUUCCAAGCAAAGCAUCGUAGCAGAUUCUACAUGUGAAGCGGAGUACAUGGCUGCCUCGGAGGCGGCUAAGGAGGGUGUCUGGAUGAAGCAGUUCAUGACGGAUAUUGGAGUGGUGCCAAGCGCACUGAAUCCAAUAACCUUGUUCUGUGACAACACUGGUGCCAUUGCCUUAGCAAAGGAACCAAGGUUUCACAAGAAGACCAGACACAUCAAACGACGCUUCAACCUCAUCCGCGACUACGUCGAGGAGGAGGACGUAAAUAUAUGCAAGGUGCACACGGAUCUGAAUGUAGCAGACCCGCUGACUAAACCUCUUCCACGGCCAAAACAUGAUCGACACCAGAACUGUAUGGGUGUUAGAUUUAUUACAAUGUAAUUCACAUGGUGAUGUGAGGGCUAUAUUAUUGACUCUAGUGCAAGUGGGAGACUGUUGGAAUUAUGCCCUAGAGGCAAUAAUAAAUGUAUAGUUAUUAUUAUAAUUCCUGUAUCAAGAUAAUAGUUUAUUAUCCAUGCUAUAAUUGUAUUGAAUGAAGACUCAUUUACAUGUGUGGGUACAUAGACAAAACACCGUCCCUAGCAUGCCUCUAGUUGGCUAGCCAGUUGAUCGAUGAUAGUCAGUGUCUUCUGAUUAUGAACAAGGUGUUGUUGCUUGAUAACUGGAUCACGUCAUUGGGAGAAUCGCGUGAUGGACUAGACCCAAACUAAUAGACGUAGCAUGUUGAUCGUGUCAUUUUGUUGCUACUGUUUUCGGCGUGUCAAGUAUUUAUUCCUAUGACCAUGAGACCAUAUAACUCACUGACACCGGAGGAAUGCUUUGUGUGUAUCAAACGUCGCAACGUAACUGGGUGACUAUAAAKAUACUCUACAGGUAUCUCCGAAGGUGUUAGUUGAGUUAGUAUGGAUCAAGACUGGGAUUUGUCACUCCGUGUGACGGAGAGGUAUCUCGGGGCCCACUCGGUAAUACAACAUCACACACAAGCCUUGCAAGCAAUGURACUUAGUGUAAGUUGCGGGAUCUUGUAUUACGSAACGAGUAAAGAGACUUGCCGGUAAACGAGAUUGAAAUAGGUAUGCGGAUACUGACGAUCGAAUCUSGGGCAAGUAACAUACCGAAGGACAAAGGGAAUGACAUACGGGAUUAUAYGAAUCCUUGGCACUGAGGUUCAAACGAUAAGAUCUUCGUAGAAUAUGUAGGAUCCAAUAUGGGCAUCCAGGUCCCGCUGUUGGAUAUUGACCGAGGAGUCUCUCGGGUCAUGUCUACAUAGUUCUCGAACCCGCAGGGUCUGCACACUUAAGGUUCGACGUUGUUUUAUGCGUAUUUGAGUUAUAUGGUUGGUUACCGAAUGUUGUUCGGAGUCCCGGAUGAGAUCACGGACGUCACGAGGGUUUCCSGAAURGUMCGGAAACSAAGAUUGAWAUAUAGGAUGACCUCAUUUGAUUACYGGUAAGGUUUUCGGAGUUACCGGGWAUGUACCGGGAAUGACGAAUGGGUUCCGGRWGUUSACYGGGAGGGGGGCAACCCACYCCGGGGAAGCCCAUAGGCCUUGGGGGUGGCGCACCAGCCCUUAGUGGGCUGGUGGGACAGCCCAAGAAGGCCCUAUGCGCCAUAGGAAGAAAAUCAAAGAGAAAAGAAAAAAAGAGGAGGUGGGAAAAUGGGGAAGGACUCCUCCUUCCAAACCUAGUUGGACUCGGUUUGGAAGGGGAGGGUUGCCCCCCUUGGCUCGGCCGAACCCCUUGGGGGUCCUUGGACCCCAAGGCAAGGCUCCCCCUCUUCCCCCUAUAUAUACGGAGGUUUUUAGGGCUGAUUUGAGACAACUUUUCCACGGCAGCCCGACCACAUAUCUCCACGGUUUUACCUCUAGAUCACGUUUCUGCGGAGCUCGGGCGGAGCCCUGCUGAGAUUAGAUCACCACCAACCUCCGGAGCGCCGUCACGCUGCCGGAGAACUCAUCUACCUCUCCGUCUCUCUUGCUGGAUCAAGAAGGCCGAGAUCAUCGUCGAGCUGUACGUGUGCUGAACGCGGAGGUGCCGUCCGUUCGGCAUUAGAUCGUGGGACUGAUCGCGGGACGGUUCGCGGGGCGGAUCGAGGGACAUGAGAACGUUCCACUACAUCAACCGCGUUCACUAACGCUUCUGCUGUGCGGUCUCCAAGGGUACGUACAUCGAAUACCCCCUCUCAUAGAUGGACAUCACCAUGAUAGGUCUUCGUGCGCGUAGGAAAUUUUUUGUUUCCCAUGCGACGUUCCCCAAGAGUGAGGGUGUCGGAGAGCUGCGCGAGCGACGUGGCGACGGAGUUGAGGCCGCGGGCCAGCAUCAGUGAGCCCUCCCGGAGCCGCUUCAGACGCGCGGACGCCACCGCGCACUGCGCCGAACAGAUCAGAUCAGAGAAAGCACGCAUGCGUCACGAUCCAUCCAACUCGGGAGUCGGGACAAAGAAAGAAAAAGAGGGAUUUCAGUCAGGAUCGAUCGGGAGUACCGUGGAUGCGGCGGAGGUGACGAGGCGGUGGUCCUCGAGGAUGGUGUCGACGCGGGUGCGCAGGUUGUCCCAUAAGUGGUCAUCGAAGGCUGGGGCUAACGACGAGGGACGUAGCGGCAGAGUCCAUCAGAGGGAGGGACCAGAGGAGGACUGGGGAGAAGGAAGGAAGGAAGGAUUCCCUGAAUGACCUCUGCGACGCGCACGGCGCCACCGCCACCGCCAUCAUCGAAGGAAGGAAGGAAGGAAGGAAGGAGUCCAUGGGUGGAUCUGGAGGAGGGGAAGGGGGAGGAGUGGAUCCGGGGGAGGAGAGAAAGAAUGGAGGCGGGGCGUGGAUGGAAUAUGUCCACGGAGACAGGGCUAGGGUUUUGGCCAGGUGGGCUAAGGAGUGCCGUUGGAUCCGUGAGCAUCCAUAUCUUUAAAAAGGUGUCUUGAGAAAUGAGUUUUUUAGAAAGAAAAAAGCACCAAAUAACAAAAUGAGUUUUUUGUGAAGGACCUACCAUAUAUUUGUUGCAAAAUUGGACCAAGCCAAUUUUCUAAAAUACUAGGUCACAUUUAAUGUACAAUUCACCAAAUGGUUGAGUGUCAAAAGCUUUGAUCAACCUCUCAUGAAAAAGGCAAAUUUUUGUCGAAUUAGUUGGAAGCGGGUCAAAUUUGAACUGCAACUGCCUCAUAGUUUUCUCUUUAUUUUUCCCAAAAAUGAUUUCUAGGUACACAAGUAUCUAUUUAGUCACAGAAACAUCAAAAGUUUUCCAAGAUUCAACCACUAGGUAGGAACGGUCAUACCUGUUGUUUUGACCGCAUUUUGAAAUGUCCAUGAAAAAUUCAAUAAAAAUCAAAAAAAUGGAAAACCUUUGCAUUGUGUCAUUAUAUGUGACAAAGUUACGCGGUAAAAUAAUAACCUGGUAAUACGACAAUUAUUUUUGAAAAGUGUUCUUAAAAUUGGCUAUCAUGUGUGAAGAUUUAUGGGUUUCAAGCGAAAUGAUAAAUCUUAUGGCCAUAUUCAUGGCAUAGUUUGCUCAAAUGAUCUAAUAUUGUGCAUAAGGGUGAAUAUUGGAAUGGCAAACAAUGUUGAGUAAUGAAGUUUUCAUUUUCUUUGGACGGAAAAUUCAUUUUCCAUUUCUCGAGUGUCCAAAAUGAGUUUUUUCAUAAAUGACAUGCCAUAUAUUUGUUGUAAAAUUGGACCAAAUCAAUUUUCUAAAAUACUAGGCCACAUUUAAUGUACAAUUCACCUAAUGGUUGGGUGUCAAAAGCUUUGAUCAACCUCUCGUGAAAUAGACAAAUUCUCGUCGAAUCAACUCGAAGUGGGGUCAAAUUUGAAUUGCAGCUGCCUCAUAGUUUGCUCUUUAUUUUUCCAAAAAAUUAUUUCUAGGUACACAAGUAUCUAUUUAAUGAGAAAAACAUCAAAAAAAUUCCAAGAUUAAACCACUAGGUAGGAACGGUCAUACCCGUCGUUUUGACCGCAUUUUGAAAUGGCCAUCAAAAAUUCAAAAAUAAUCAAAAAAAAUGAAAAACAUUGCAUGGUGUCAUUAUAUGUGACAAAGUUAUCAAGAAAAAUAAUAAACUUGUAAUACGACAAUUAUUUUUAAAAAGUGUUCUUAGAAAUGGGCUAUCAUGUGUGAAGAUUCAUGGCUUUCAAGCCAAAUGAUCAAUCUUAUGGCCACAUUCAUGACAUAGUUUGUUGAAAUGAUAUAAUAUUAUGCACAAGGGUGCAUAUAGGAAUGACAAACAAUGUUGAUUAAGGAAGUUUUCAUUUUCCUUGUAUGUAAAAAUCAUUUUCCAUUUUUCAAGUACCCAAAAUGUUUUUUUUGUAAAGGACCUACCAUAUAUUUGUUUCAAAAUUGGACCAAAUCAUUUUUAUAAAAUACUAGGCCAUAUUUAAUAUAGAAUUGAAAAAAUGGUUGGGUGUUAAAAGCUUUUAUCCACCUCUUGUGAAAACUACAAAUUUAUGUCGAUUCAGUUGGAAGCGGGUUCAAUUUGAACUGCAGCUGCAUUAUAGUUUGUUCUUUAUUUUUCCCAAAAAUCAUUUAUAGGUACAUAAGUAUCUAUUUAAUGAGAAAUACAUGGUGUGGUGGCUUGACUUGCAUGCCAGCUGCAUGGUCACCGCCUGACCGUUGCGUUGCCAUGCGUUCUGGGUGGAAUAGGCAUGUCUGGUGGGUUGUAUAAUCCCUCGGUAGGUGUUAGGAAGAAGAAUACAAUAGAAGAAUCUCACGAGGAGACUGAACUAAGCUCAAACAUGAAUUAGCAGCCAAGUGUUUGAUUAGCGAUGCAGGUAAUGCACAUAGACAAUGGGCCUAAAUUUUGGCUGAGGAUGAUCAUCUACUAAUACAAUAUCUUGGCAAAUAUUUAGCUCAAAUGGAUGAACCUAGGUGGCACUUGCUUUGCAAAGUAACACACUAUGCAGAAAUAUGUAUGUUGAAGCUCGGAUCGAAUGAAUGAAUGGAUUGAGCUGAAAUUUUGUGUAUGAUGUUAAUUUGGGAAUAUGAAGGCAUUUCAAAAAAAUCAUACCAUUUGGACAUGCCAAAGUGACACUUCUUUCAUAAUGUGCCAAUCUGGACAGAAAAUGGUAAUUGAAACUGGGCUCACAUAGAUGAUUGGAUUGAGCUGAAAUUUGGAGGAGGAUGAUAAUUUGGACAGAUUAAGGCACUGUAAAAAUUUCAUAAAAUUUGGAUAAACAAAAAUUGUACUUCCUUCACAAUGCUCUCUACUGAACAGAAUAUUGGGAAAAAUAUUAAGGGAAACUGGUUGAAUUAAAUGAGAUAAAACUUGGUGGAGUGAGGUUAUAUGGUCAGUUUCAUCCCGUGGUAAAUUUUCAUCAAGUAUAAAGAAAUAUAAAAUGUAGUUGCUUCACAAAAUGAAAAUAUUACCAGAAACAAAGAUUGGAUUAUGAGCUCACAUGGAUUGUUAGAUGGGGCUAAAAUUUUGUGGAGAGCUAUGUUUUGGGCACAUAGAAGAUGUGGAAAAAAUUGAUCUCAUAUGGAUAUUCCUAUCUAGUACUUCCUUCACAAAGAUUUUAGCUGAACACAAACUUUGGAAAUUUUCUGAGAGAGAUUUACUAGGCAAAUGGUUACGAAAGUUUUCAUGGGAAAUUAUUUGGAUAGGAAAAAGUGCCCAAAAAAUAUGAGGGCAAUCAAAGAAAUAGAAAUAUCACUUCCUUCACAAAGUGCUAUUUUGAACAUAAUAGGAAAAUGAAUAUUGCUGAAUUAUUUUUGAACUAUGGAAGGAAGGGUUUUCACAUAUUUAAGGAAUAAAUGAUUCAAAGUAUUUAUGAGAAUAUUUUGAGAAUUUUUGGAAUGACAGAAUAGUAGGUUGCUUCACAAACUAGGAUGAAGUGGGAUAGAAUGGACCCACGAGUGACAUGUCAACAUAGUUAGAACAUGUGACGACAUUUUUAUAAUCGUCGUAAAAGUUAUGACGAUCUCAUCUUAUGCUGUUACGACGUUUUUGACUCACAUCGUCAUAAUUUAUAUGUACGUUUGAUCCCCUCAAACGGUUUAUGACGAUCUCGGAUGAAAUCGUCAUAGAUUUAUGACGAAUUCGUCAACGACCUCUUAAAGAACGUCAUGUAUGAGCAUAUUUCUUGUAGUGUAGGCCAGGUGUUAUGAUUGUUGUUCUACUCCCUAAAAGUAAUAAUGAUAUCUACACUUAUACCAAACCAUAAGUUCAUUGCGUCAUCUGCAAACUCCAGCCACUUUCUGUUUAUUUUUCUCCACUAGAACCAUCAGCGGAUACUCUGAACAUCCGGUCUUUCUUACGCUCUUCUUUGUGCCAUUUCAACAACUUGGCAUGCUCUUUGUUUCUAAACAGACAUUUCAACCGUGGUAUUAUAGGAUUAUACCACAUCACCUUGGCAAGAACCCUCUUCCCGGGGUGCUCGCCCUCAACAUCGUCACCAGGAUCUUCGCGUCUGAUUUUAUACCGCAAUGCACCACAUAACGGGCAUGCAUUUAAAUUCUCGUACUCCUCACCGCGGUAGAGGAUGCAUUCAUUCGGGCAUGCAUGCAUCUUCUGCACCUCUAACCUUACAAGACAGAGAACUUUCUGUGCUUCGCACGUACUGUCACGCAAUUCGUUAUCCUUUGGAAACUUCUUCUUCAUUAUUUUCAGUAACUUCUCAAAUCCCUUGUCACAUAAACCAUUCUCCGCCUUCGAGUGCAGAAAUUCUAGUGUGGUGCCCAGCUUUGUGUUUCCAUCUUUGCAAUUUGGGUAGAAACGUUUUUAUGAUCCUCUAACAUGCGAUCGAACUUCAAGUUCUCCUUUUCACUUUCGCAUUCUCUCUGUGCAUCCACAAUGACCUGGCGAAGAUCAUCAGCGGGCACAUCUCGUGCAUCUUGAUCUUCAGAUUCCCGCGUUGCAGUAUCACUAUAUUCAGGGAACAUAGUAUAAUUGUCAUCAUCAUCUUAUUCUUCAUUGUGUUCCAUCAUAACCCCUCUUUCUUCGUGCUUGGUCCAAACAUUACAGCUACGCAUGAAACCGAACGAUAGCAAGUGGGUGUGAAGGAUUUUUGAGAAAGAAUAAUCCCUCGUAUUCUCAUAUACAACACAUGACAACACAUAAAACCAUUCACAUUGUUUACCUUAGCCACACUGAUAAAAUUAUGCAGGCCCGUAAUGUACUUGGAAAUGCGUCGGUCACGGUGCAUCCAUUUUCGGUUCAUUCGCAUUAUAUAAUUAAGUAUAUCAAAAACCAUUACAGAACAUCAUGAAUAGAGAAAUGGCAAAAUUAAUACAAGUUCAUCACAUUAAAUCCAAAGUACACUAGUGAUCAAAUGUUAUUACUACAAACAUAAAUACAUAAAGUUCAUACAUAUUUCUCAUAAAACAACAUACAACUAUCUAGAGCAUCUAAAACAUACAUUGGACUAACAUAUAACUAUGUAAAACAUUUAAAUGAAACAAAAAAUGCGAGCCAAAUCGCAACUAAGGUAACAAUUGAUCCAACAACAUAAUGAUACGAAGUGUCUUUAUCAAUGGCAUAUUUUCUAAUGUUUUUAAUCUUCAAGCGCACUGCAUCCAUCUGGAUCUUGUGUAGAUCGACGACAUCGACAACAUGAAACUCCAAUUUCACCUUCUCUUGUUCAAUUCUAUUCAAUUUUUCUUUCAAAUAAUUGUUUUCUUUUCAACAAAAUCUAACCUCUCGACAAGAGGGUCGGUUGGAAUUUCUAUUCACAUACCUCCUACGUCAAAAUAUCUAUGUCAAUUUUGUCGCCAUAAUUGUUAUAAACACUAAAUGAAACAAUAAGUUAUAAAAUAUAAUAUACCACAACCGAAUCAUAGACCGGACGAGAGCCGACAAGGGUGGAUAUCAAAACCAUGGCACUAUAUAAUAACAAACAAUAAUACAAGUAAGAAAAUUAUACAAGUAACUAUAUAUAAAUCAUACAAGAAAGGUUCUUUUUUUUUUAAAAAAGAUAAGAACAAAAGGCUCACCACAGUGGUGUCGGCGAUGAGAUUAGCACGGGCGAUCGAAAGCGGUGAUGACGGGGACGAGAUCUUGGAGGAUGGACACAAGAGAAGAAAGAGGAGAAAGCUUAAUAUGGCUCGGGCACCUCAUAUCAAUGACAUCAUGCUCUCAUGCAUUUGAUCGAACACCUCUUGUGCAUAGGAAAGGAAAACAACCUAGCACACACCUGCCACAUUCUCUAAGGAAAAAACACAUGAGAGGGGGGGUAGGGGCGAGGGAUAUAUAUUGGCAACUAUUUAAUCCGGUUGGUGUCCAAAACCAACACUGAAGAGAGGUCUUUAGUUCCGGUUGGAGACAUCAACCAGGACUAAAGGGUGUGGAACCUGCCCCAACCCAUUUAGUCCAGAUUGGUGUGUCCAUCCGGGACUUAAUGUCCCAUUCAAAAAGAAACUAAUGCCUGUCGAGCCCUGUCCGGCGUCCCCACCGCUUGAACCGGGAUUAACGCUCUCAUUAAACACGGUUCGUAACGUGACCGACACUAUUCUUCCAAUUCUGCUAGAAUCAAAGCCAUGUUUUCUAAUAGUGUACCCUACAAGAAGAAAUAAAAAUAAAAUGACAUAAAAUAUAUGGCAUUCUACGUUAGAUUUUUAUAGGGAAAAGGCGGCCAUGCUCGAAUUCAAAUUAAUUAAGCCCCAGUCAAACGGAAGAUACAAGGAUGGUGAAAGAAACAACUUACAACAGGUCUGAUGGCGAGAUGAUGUAUAUACUUCUCGCUCCUCGUUGAUUACCCCAAGUGGAAGGUUGAGAUGUAGUGAGCAACAAGUUUUCCUUCACACGGGAACUGUAACGUUUAUCAAACCAGAAAGACUCCUAGGACUAACAAGUAGGUGUCUUCCACCCUGGCGCUAGGAGAAGACGUGGACCUGCACACACAACAAAUAACUUUGCUCCCAAUGAGUACACAGAGGUUGUCAAUCUCUCCGGCCUUGUAGUUUGCAAAGGAUCAAAACACAAGCGGGAAGGUAAUAGUGAUUGCAACGGAAAAGUAAAUGAAAGCGGUAAAUGAUGGAGGUGUAAACAAUGAUGGUGAUAUGGACCGGAGUCACAUGAUGUUCACUAGUGAUGUCUCUCUCCCAAAAUAUGAUAAGCAACUAUGCUUGGGUAAACAAAUCACAGCUGGGCAAUUAACAAAAUUAUGAACGCACCAAAAUUCUAAUUAUGCUACUUGAUAGUUAGAGGUUCAAUAGUAAUUGGCAGUAUGCCAAGACAAGUAGACCGUUUAUUCAUCAGCAUCUACAUACUAAUCAUCCACCUUGAGAUAUCUAUCCAGAAUAUCUCGCUGGUAUUAAGUUGCGAGCCCGACCCAAAGUGUAAACUCAAAGCAACGAACAACCGCAUUAGCAAACUAUGCGUAAGGUAAACAAUUCUUGCAACCAAGGUGACAAGCGCGGUUGUUUUCUCCCUAGUGGAAACAACACAUCCCCUAGUCUCAUGUUUUUGUCACCCAAAGUAGACAUCGAGGGGCUUGAACCCACUAUCAUGCAUAACGCUCCCUCUUGGAGUUACAAUCUACUACUCAUCCAAAGCAAUAAAUAACAAGAGAGAACAUGCAUGAAUCAUUAAGGAACAUACUAUAAAAGGAUAAUCAAAUAUAUAACUCAUAACAAUAUGAACAUAAUCUCAUAAUCCAUUGGAUCCCAACAAACCGAGCAUAGCAAUAGCAUGAGAAUUAAAUAGAUGCCUUGAUCAUGUAGGGCAGCUCACAAGGACUAACCAUUGAAGCACAAGAUUGGAGAUGAGACAUCAGAUAGCUACUGAUCAUGGACCCAUGGUCCAAGGAGGACUACUCAAGGCAUGUCUGGGAAGCAUCCAUGGUAGUGUAGAAGCUCCUGGAAGUCAAUCCUCCCUCCGGAUGGGUGCCAGAAGAGGUCUGCUGAUGCUUCCGAUCUCGGAAGCGCUGCGGCGGCGAAACGAUGGAGAAAUUCGUGAUUCUGGAAGUUGUGGAAGGGUUUCCUCUCGGGACUCUAAAUAUAGGCCAAAGGAGGGCACCGAAGGAGAUGGGGCCCACCCAGGCGGCCUCCUGGCGCGGCCUAGGGCCUGGCCGCGCCAGCAGGUCGCCUGGGAAGUCCCUGGCCCCCCUAUGGCCCAUCUUCGAUGAUCCGGAAGCUUCUUUUUCGCUGAUUUUUAUAUAUUUUUCCUAGAAUUUUUCGGGUUUCGGAAAAUUGGGUAAAAGCCCUUGCAAAAUAGACAUCAACAGACAGAAACUGGCACUGGGUCCACUCAGUUAGUAGGUUAGUCCAAAUAUGUGUAAAAUGAUAUUAAAGUGUAGCAAAACAUAUAACAAUGUCACCCAAAAGAUCAUGGAACAAGCAGAAAUUAUAGAUACGUUUGGGAUGUAUCAACAUCCCCAAGCUUAAUUUCUGCUCGUCCUCGAGUAGUUAAAUGAUAACACAAUAAUUUCUGUGGUGACAUGCUAACACACAUAUAAGAACUUCAAAGUAAAUCAAGUAAGAUAUGCAAUUCAAGUCAAGACAAUAACAAGCAAGAGUUUAUAUCUAGUAUUGAAAUGAGCAAAGUAAGAACAUAAAGGUGCAAGAGCUCUCGCUGUCCGUGACUCGAAUGUCUCCAAAUGGUGUUUGCGUGCAAAAAGUGGGAGAUGGGUUGAGAUCAUAAAAUAUAUUUUUAAUUGAGAACUCAAUCUACUAAAAUUCACACUUGCUCGCCUUCAGAAUUUUAUUUUGACUCAUCCCGAGACCACUAGUCAGGCACAAGUCAAAAUGAUCCUCUCCGUUCGACUAGGAUUUGCAAAACAAUGGAAACACAAAACAUGGCAGAAUCUCUGAAAAAAAUAACAGCACGUAGUAAAUAAUUUAUUCGUGGCACUUCUGCAACUCAUAUCAAAAAACUCAGGAUAGAUGCAAGAAAUGCAAUUAUAUAGAGCAUGCUGUCAAACAAAUUCAGAUCAAAAAUAUGAUCUCGCGAUUUCUGGCGAAGUUUUCCAUGAGGCACACAGAAUCUGUUCGUGGACAGCAUGUUACAAUUUUUGAACUUUAUUGCAAUCGGAGGCUAUAACGUGGCACAAAGCUUAAAAAUAAAGAUACAAUGAUAUUGCUACAUUAGUAACAAGCAUCAAGACCACAAAAACUGAAAGUAAAAAACAAGUUGGGUUGCCUCCCAAUAAGCGCAUUCUUUUAUGCCUUUGAGCUAGGCAUAAUGCAAGAAGAUCAAGUAUUAUCAACUCCAAAAGCUUAACUUGCCCAAGUAAUGGACUCAUAAGGUAACUUAAUCUUCUUUCUAGGGAAGUGUUCCAUUCACUUUUUAAGAGGAAAUUGGGAUUUAAUAAUUCCCUCUUUCAUGUCAAUGAUAGCACCCAUGGUGCGGAGAAAAGGACGUCUCAGAAUUAUUGGACAUGAAGGAUCACAUUCAAUGUCCAUAAUAAGAAAAUCAACGGGCACAUAAUUAUCGUUGACAAUAAUAAGAACAUCAUCAAUUCUCCCUAAAGGUUUCUUUAUGGAAGAAUCAACAAGAUGAACACCAAAAGAACAUGGAUCAUAAGGUUUCCAAUCAAUCAUAUCAUACAUUCUUUUGGGCAUAACAGAAGCACUAGCUCUAACAUCACACAAGCAAAGCAAGAGAUGUUAUUCAAUUUGAUCUAGACCAUAGGAUCCCAACCAUCUUCUAGUUUUCUAGGAAUAGAACUCUCUAGCUUGAGCUUCUCCUCCCAAGCUUUGAUAAGAGCAUUUGUAAUAUGCUCGGUGAAGGCAAUAUUGAGUGUACUAGUGUGGGGGUCUUUAGCCAUUCUUCGCAAAAAAGUGAUGACUUCGGAAAGACUACAACUGUCAAAAUCAAGAUUACUACCAUUAAUUAAAGUGGUAGUAAUGUCAUCUAAGAUCAUUCUUUUGGUAGUCUCUAAAUUCAAAGGACUUUCUUGUCCUAUAGUUGAGGUAUUAGCAUCACUAUUAAUAGGUCCAUUGGGACAAGGAGUGUGAUGGGUGCUAAAAGUUUUGAGAUCCUCAAUAACUUGUAUAGUAGCAAUGGUAGUGUGUGUAGGAAGGCUCUUAAUUCUCUCUUCCUCUUCCUUUUCUCUAGAAAAUCUAUCCUCAAGUUUGGCUGGCAUUCUUAUGUUCUCAUUAGUUUGGACUUGGAUAGCAUUCAUGGGUGUAAUGUUCCUUUCCUCAAGUGGGGAAGUUCUAAUUUUAAGCAUCUCUACAUCAUGAGCUAUGUUGUCAACCUUCAAAGAGAGACUAUCUAUUUUUUCUCGCUUCUCUUCUACACUCUUGUUGAAGGAUUUUUGAGAAGUGAUAAAAUCUUUAAGUAUGCAUUCUAAUUCAGAAGUGGAGUUUUUGGUGCUAGGAUAAUUGUUAUUGUUCCCAUAGUUGUUGGAUGGAAACGGUUUGGGAUUUUUACCAAAAUUACUCCUAUAGGCAUUAUUAUUGAAGUUGUUCCUAGAGAUAAAAUUAAGAUCCACUUUCUCUCUUUCUUGAGCAACCAAAUAAUUUAAAGGAGCAUCAUGAGGAUCAAUAGGAGCUUGUUGAUACGUCCCAAACGUAUCUAUAAUUUCUGCUUGUUCCAUGAUCUGUUGGGUGACAUUGUAAUAUGUUUUGCUACACUUUAUAUCAUUUUCAACAUAUUUGGACUAACCUACUAACUCAGUGCACCCAGUGCCAAUUUCUGUCUGGUAAUGUCUAUUUUAUAGGGGCUUUUACCCAAUUUUCCGAAACCCGAAAAAUUCCAGGAAAAAUAUAUAAAAAAUCAGCAAAACAAAAGCUUCUGGAUCACGGAAGAUGGGCCAGAGGGGGGCGAGGGGCUGCCUAGGUGACCUGCUAGCGCGGCCAGGCCCUAGGAUGUGCCAGGAGGCUGCCUGGGUGGGCCCCACAUCCUCCGGUGCCCUCCUUUCGCCUAUAUUUAGAGUCCCGAGAGGAAACCCUUCCACAACUUCCAGAAUCGCGAAUUUCUCCAUCGUUCCGUCACCGCAGCGCUUCCGAGAUCGGGAGCGUCUGGAGACCUCUUCCCGGCACCCUGGCGGAGGGAGGAUUGACCUCCGGGAGCUUCUUCACCAUCAUGGAUGCUUCCCGAACAUGCCGUGAUUAGUCCUCCUUGGACCAUGAGUCCAUGACCAGUAGCUAUGUGAUGUCUUCUCUCCAAUCUUGUGCUUCAAUGGUUAGUCCUUAUGAGUUGCCCUACAUGAUCAAGGCAUCUAUGUAAUUAUCUUGCUAUUGCUAUGCUCGGUUUGUUGGGAUCCGAUGGGUUAUGAGAUUAUGUUCACAUUGUUAUGAGUUAUAUUAUUUUAUUAUCCUUUUAAAUUACGUUCCUUAGUGAUUCAUGCAUGUUCUUCGUUGCUAAUUAUUGCUUCGGUCGAGUAGUAGAUUGUAAUUCUAAGAGGGAGCGUUAUGCAUGAUUGUGGGUUCAUGCCCCUCGAUGUCUAGCUUGAGUGACAGAAACAUGAGACUAGGGGAUGUGCUAUUUCCACCAGGGAGAAAACAACGGUGCUUGUGACCACGGUUGCAAGGAUUAUUUACCUUACGCAUAGUUCGUUAAUGCAGUUGUCCGUUGGUUUGAGUUUGCACUUUGGGUGGGGCUCGCAACUUAAUACCGGAGAGAUGUUCUAGAUAGAUAUCUCAAGGUGUAUGAUUAGUAAGUAGAUGUUGAUGAAUAAACAAUCUACUUGUCUUGGCAUACUGCCCAUUACUAUUGAACCUCUAACUAUCAAGUAGCAUAAUUAGCAUUGCGGUGCGUUCAUAAUUCUGUCAAUUGCCCAACUGUGAUUUGUUUACCCAAGCAUAGUUGGUUAUCGUCUUUCGGGAGAGAGACAUCACUAGUGAACAUCAUGUGACUCCGGUCCAUAUCACCAUAAUUGUUUACACCUCCAGCAUUUACCGCUUUCAUUUACUUUCCCGUUGCAAUCACUAUUACUUUCCCGCUUGUGUUUUGAUCCUUUACAAACUACAAGGCCGGAGAGAUUGACAACCUCUCUGUACUCGUUGGGAGAAAAGUUAUUUGUUGUGUGUGCAGGUCCACAUCUUCUGCUAGCACCAGGGUGGGAGACACCUACUUGUUGAGCCUAGGAGUCCUCUUGGUUCGAUAAACCUCACAGUCUCCGUGUGAGGGAAAACUUGCUGCUGGCUACAUCUCAACCUUCAUCUUGGGGUAACCAACGAGGUGCGAGAAGUAUAUACAUCAUCUCGUCAUUAAGCAAAGUUUUCUGGCGCCAUUGCCUGGGACUCCAGUCUUCAAGAUAGGGGAGUUGCACGCUAUCCUUUACCUUUGCUUUUUAGUCUUGUUAGUUUGCUUUUUAGUUUUUGCUUUAGAGUCUUAUACCAAAAACCACAAAAAAAAUAGUUACUUUGCCUUUAGUUCUCAAGCAUGUUAAGGUUUGAUGUUUGGAAGGAAUCUGAGGUCCUAGAUUGCCAUCAAAGGAAUGGAGAAAAUAUGAAGGAAGCUUGCGAUAGAUUUUCUGAAGCACACAAAAGAAUUAUGCCUUGGAUACCUAUCAAAAUUUUGCUUAGAAUUUUUUAUCAUAGUCUCUUUAUAUGGUGCAAACACUGUCUUGAUAUUAUAGCUAAAGGAGAUUUCUUAGAGUGUGAUGAGGCAAGAGCUCUUGACAUUAUACAUGGUCUAUCUAAUAAUCUUGUUUAUAAUCAUGGUUAUGACACUAUUAUAGAUAGAUUUGCUACCAUUGAAAGGAAAAUAGAUGCUCUAGACUUAAGAGAAAGAGAGGAACCCAUGGUUAAUAAGGAACAUAUUUUGAAAAUAGAUGAUGACCGGGAACCUUUUGUUAGAAUUAGCAUCUCUAACCAAGACUUCCUUGCUUAUUGUGAUAUUGGAUACAUGGUUUCUACAAUGCCAAAAGUUGUUUAUGAUUCUCUCUAGUUAGACAUGGAAUUUUUUUAUCUUAUCAUGAACAUGCUAAUGGUGAUAUUUCUGAAAUGCAGCGAAAGGUAAAAGAUGUCCAGGUUACAUUCUCUAAAAGGAAUGCAGUGGUUGAUUUCUUCAUCAUGGAGCCCAACAAAGGGAAUAUAGUGCUUGGAAGGGACUUCCUCCAAGGCAUGAGAGGCUUCAUUGAUAUAGGUAAAGGACACAUACGCUUACAUGGGAAAGCGAAAGGUACGUACCCAUUCCCUAGGAAAAAUAAGGAUGAACUUGUUGAGGAUCCAUUUAAAGGUCUUUAUAAUUCCGAUGACCUUGGAGAAUCUUGAUCCUUCUUCUUGCAUUAUGCCUAGCUCAAAGGCAUAAAAGAAAGCACUUGUCGGGAGGCAACUCAAUUUGUUUUUACUUUUUUUUAGUGGUAUUGAUGCUUGUUACUACUGUAGCAACAUCAUUGUAUCUUUAUUUUUAAGCUUUGUGCCAAGUUAUAGCCUCCGAUUGCAAGAAAGUUCAAAAAUUGUGACAUGCUGUCCAAAAACAGAUUCUGUGUGCCUGACGAAAAAAAUAGCCAAAAGUCACCAGAUCAUCUUUUUUAUCUGAAUUGUUUUUACAGCAUGCUAUAUAUAAUUGCCUUUAUGGCAUCUGUUCUGAGUUUUUUUAUUUGAGUUGCAGAAGUGCCCCGAAUAAAUUAUUUACUACCUCUUGUUUAGUAUUUCAUAGAUUCUGCCAUGUUUUGCAUUUCCAUUGUUUGGCGAAUCCUAAGCUUGCUUUUUAUUUGCAAAAUCCUUUUGACAAUCAUGAUAAGCAGUAAAUUUUCAUGAAAAUCUUUAUUUACAUCAGGUAAUGAAUUAUUUUUUUAAGGGUACUAACCACUCUAAUCAGCUUAUGAUGAGUUUUGUAUGAAAGGAGUUUUCAAGUAUGCGAUGGGAGAUUAUGAAAGAAGAUACAGGUGGGUCAAGCGCUCAAGCUUGGGGAUGCCCCCAUGCACCCCAAGAAAUAUUCAAGGAUACUCAAGCGUCUAAGCUUGGGGAUGCCCCCGUGCAUCCCCUUCUCUAUCAACAAUCAUCGGUUCGUCUAUCUCCAUGCUAUAUUUUUAUGACUUCAUAUGUUAUGUGCUAUGCUUGGAGCGUCCCGCUAUUUGCUUUUUUGUUUGUUUUAGUUUUGCUUGUUGUUCAUAACAAAUCGGAACCAAGCCUACCUUGUUUGGGAGAAAGACAUGCUCCAUUCCACACUAGAACACAAUAUAGGUUUUCAUGCUUAUCUUUUUUGUGUGUGCUUCAUCUUUCCAUAGCUACUGUCCUGCUUAGCUCUUAGGUUUCAUGCUUAUAUUUCUAAGAGCUUUUAUUUAGGUUGAUUUUGGAACUCUUUUGAGUUGUCAUGCUUAUCUUGUUUAGAGAAUUGGCUCGUUGCACUGAGUAGUGUGUCUUGCAUGAGUAGGUAAUUGAGGUUGCUAUUUAAGUAUAAUAGUAACUUGCAAUAGUUUUGAGGUAUUGAUUUGAGUAAUGUUUGGACUAUUGGUGCCAAGAGCUUGAGCCUAUUAGUGAUAGGUGUCGUAUUUUGGGAAAUCCGUGAGUUUUUCAAAAACUUAAAAUUAGUUGAGAACUCUAGCUACUAAAUUGAUCGCUAACCUCUGGAGUGGUUGGAAUAUAUAGAGUACCCUCACGUUACCAUGAGUCGAGGAUGUGCAAGGAUAACCAAACCCCCAAACACUCCUCCUCGGGGUACUUGUCUUUUGUGAAUUUCCUUACUAGAUAGAGAGUUACCGAUAAUAAGUCUAUGUGUUCUUCAGACUAAUGUGAGUAUUCGAUUGUUGGUACUUCCACCAUCCAUAUUUUGCUAGCCUCUUCGGUACCGUGUGUUGCCCUUUCUCACAUUGAGAGUUGGUGAAAACUCCACCGGUGCAUCCAAACCCAUGACAUGAUAUGCUCUGUCAUACAUAAGCGUCAUUAUAUCUUUCCUCAAAACAGCCACCAUACCUACCUAUUAAGGCCUUCCCAUAGCCUUUCCGAGAUAAAUUGUCAUGCAACAUCCACCAUCUCAUGACUUGAUCUUCAUGUCAUACAUGCUUUUUCUUGAUCGUAGAGCCGCAUAAUAGUUGGGCCUUACCCCAAUUAUUGCUACAUGAUGCGCUAGUAUCAUUGCAUAUCCUGCUACACUGGCAGAGGCAUACAUUUGCAUACAUCAAGAUAGUUUUGAUUUAUCUUUAUGUUGAGUACUUCUUAUAAAGUGUGAAGAUCUUCUUUUUAUUCUCGAAAAUAUAGAGUAUUGCCCUUAAGUGAGGAAAAGAUCCCAAAGAGGACAAACAAAAGAUCCCAAAGAGGACAAAUGGGAGAUAAAAAGAAAGAGCCAAAGAGGCCACAAAAAAAUAAAAAAAGAGAGAAAAAAAGAGAGAAGGGGGCAACACUACUAUUCCUUUUGAAGAUCCACACUCGUACUCUAUUUCUAUAUUGGUACUACAUAGAGAUUAUCAUUCAUGCAUAACUAUGUGCGGACCCUUAUACAAUAUAACUUGGUUUGCAUAUUCCAAUGAUGAGCCUCCUCAAAUGAGCUCUAGUUCUUCAUGAGCAAACAAGUUGGAUGCACCCCACUAGUUCCAUUGGAGAGCUUACCUUAGCUCAUAUGUGCAUCCGUUACAUGGCAAUCCCUACUUCUCACAUCAUAUAUAUCAUUUGGCUUUCUCUCGCCCAUGGUUGUCCUCAUUCAUGUGAGCCUUUCACACCUUUUUAUCCUCCUUCCCCAUCAUUACUCUAUUUUUCAUCCUAAGUGUCAACAUAUCUUGCUUACGCUCAUCCAUUGCAUGAGUGCUCAAAGUCGAAAGGGAAAGGAUCAUUUUGACUUGUGCCUCACUAGUGGUCUGGGGAUGAGUCAAAACUAGAUUCCAAAGGAGACCAAGUGUGAAAGUUUAGUAGAUUGAGUUCUCAAUUAAAAAUAAUUUAUGAUCUCAACCCAUCUCCCACUUCUCGCAUGCAAACACCAUUUGGAGACAUUCGAGUUACGGACAGCGAGAGCUUUUACACCUUUAUGUACUUACCUUGCUAAAAUUCAAUACUAGAUAUAAACUCUUGCUUGUUAUUGUCUUGACUUGAAUUGCAUUUCUCACUUGCUUUACUUUGAAAUUCUUAUAUGUGUGUUAGCAUGUCACCACAGAAAUUAUUGUGUUAUCAUUUAUCUACUAUAGGACGAGCGGAAAUUAAGCUUGGGGAUGUUGACGUCCCAAACGUAUCUAUAAUUUUUGCUUGUUCCAUGAUCUUUUGGGUGACAUUGUUAUAUGUUUUGCUACACUUUUAUAUCAUUUUAAACAUAUUUGGACUAACCUACUAACUCAGUGUACCCAGAGCCAGUUCCUGUCUACUGAUGUCUAUUUUGUAGGGGCUUUUACCCAAUUUUCCAAAGCCCUAAAAAUUCGAGCAAAAUAUAUAAAAACUCAGCGAGACAGAAGCUUCCGGAUCACCGAAGAUGGGCCACAGGGGGGCCAAGGGCUGCCCAGGUGACCUGCUGGCGCGGCCAGGCCCUAGGCCGUGCCAGGAGGCCGCCUGCAUGGGCCCCACCUCCUCCGGUGCCCUCCUUUAGCCUAUAUUUAUAGUCCUGAGAAGAAACCCUUCCACAACUUCAAAAAUCGCGAAUUUCUCCAUCGUUCCGCUGCCGCAGCGCUUCCGAGAUGAGGAUCGUUAGGAGACCUCUUCCCGGCACCCUGCCGGAGGGAGGAUUGACCUCCGGGAGCUAGUCCACCGCCAUGGACGCUUCCCGGACGUGCCGUGAGUAGUCCUCCUUGGACCAUGAGUCCAUGACUAGUAGCUAUGUGACGUCUUAUCUCCAAUCUUGUGCUUCAAUGGUUAGUCCUUGUGAGUUGCCCUAGAUGAUCAAGGCAUCUAAGUAAUUCUCUUGCUAUUGCUAUGCUCGGUUUGUUGGGAUCCGAUGGAUUAUGAGAUUAUGUUCAGAUUGUUAUGAGUUAUAUAUUUUAUUAUCCUUUUAUAUUUUGUUCCUUAGUGAUUCAUGCAUAUUCAUCGUUGCUAUUUAUUGCUUUGGCUGAGUAGUAGAUUAUAACUCCAAGGGGAGCGUUAUGCAUGAUUGUGGAUUCAUGCCCCUCGAUGUCUAGCUUGAGUGAUAUAAACAUGAGACUAGGGGAUGUGUUGUUGCCACCAGUGAGAAAACAACGGUGCUUGUGACCACGGUUGCAAGGAUUGUUUACCUUACGCAUAGUUCGUUAAUGCAGUUGUCCCUUGCUUUGAGAUUACACUUUGGGUGGGGCUCGCAACUUAAUACCAUAGACAUGUUCUGGAUAGAUAUCUCAAGGUGGAUGAUUAGUAAGUAGAUACUGAUGAAUAAACGGUCUACUUGUCUUGGCGUACUGCCCAUUACUAUUGAACCUCUAACUAUCAAGUAGCAUAUUUAGCAUUGCGGUGCGUUCAUAAUUCUAUCAAUUGCCCAACUGUGAUUUGUUUACCCAAGCAUAGUUGUUUAUCAUAUUUUGGAAGAGAGACAUCACUAGUGAACAUCAUGUGACUCCGGUCCAUAUCACCAUCAUUGUUUACACCUCCAUCAUUUACUGCUUUCAUUUACUUUCCCGUUGCAAUCACUAUUACCUUCCCACUUGUGUUUUGAUCCUUUGCAAACUACAAGGCUGGAGAGAUUGACAAACUCUAUGUACUUGUUGGGAGCAAAGUUAUUUGUAGUGUGUGCAGAUCUACGUCUUCUGCUAGCGCCAGGGUGGGAGAGACCUACUUGUUGAGCCUAGGAGGCCUCUUGGUUCGAUAAACCUCACAGUCUCCGUGUGAGGGAAAACUUGCUAACUACAUCUCAACCUUCCACUUGAGGUAACCAACGAGGUGCGAGAAGUAUAUACAUCAUCUCAUUAUCACUUUCUUAGUAAGUAGAGUCAUGAUCAUGUGAACCUUAUCAUUAGGGGAGGAGAUUUCCUCAACAAAGUUUACCUUCCUACGUGUUGGAGCUCUCUCGGUGUGCCAUUGAGAAUAAUUUGUCAUCAUCUCAUCCAAUAGCUUUGUGCCAGCACCAAGGGUAGUUGACAUAAAGGUUCCUCCCGCGGCCGAGUCUAACAGAUUCUGCGAGGUAAAGUUUAGUCCUGCAUAGAAAGUUUGGAUAACCAUCCAAGUAGUCAAACCAUGUGUAGGGCAAUUCUCAACAAUAGAUUUCAUACAUUCCCAAGCUUGAGUAACAUGUUCAUUAUCCAAUUGCCUAAAUUUCAUAAUGUUACUCCUCAACUAGAUAAUCUUAGGAGGCAGGUAAUACUUCCCAAUAAAAGCAUCUUUGCACUUAUCCCAUGAAUCUAUGCUAUUCCUAGGCAAAGAUUGAAGCCACACUUCAGCUCUUCCUCUCAAGGAGAAAGGAAAAAAGCAUAAGUUAACAAUGUCUCCAUAUACUUCUUUAUAUUUCUGCAUAUCACAGAGCUCAACAAAAUUGUUCAAGUGCAAGGCAGCAUCAUCUCCAGCACCGGAGAAUUGAUAUUUCAUAACAAGGUUCAGUAAAGCAGGUUUAAUCACAUAGGACAUGGCUCGCAAGUAGCGGGAGCAGCAAUAAGAGUGCAGAUAAAGUCAUUGUUGUUGUGACUAGUGAACUCACAUAACUUGGUGUUUUCAUUGGAACCCAUAGCAGCGAAAACAAUCAAGAACAAACCAACUAUUUUUUUUGUGGUUUUUGGUAUAAGUCUAUAAAGAAAAAAACUAAAAAACAAACUAACAAGACAGGAAAGCAAAGGUAAAGGAUAGCGUGCAACUCCCCAAUCCUGAAGACUGGAGUCCCCGACAACGGUGCCAUAAAACUUUUCUUGAUGACAAGAUGAUGUAUGUACUCCUCGCUCCUUGUUGGUUAUCCCAAGUGGAAGGUUGAGAUCUAGUCAACAGCAAAUUUUCCCUCACACGAGAACUGUAAGGUUUAUCGAACCAGAAGGACUCCUAGGACCAACAAGUAGGUGUCUUCCACCCUGCCGCUAGCAGAAGGCGUGGACCUGCACACAAAACAAAUAAUUUUCCCCCAACGAGUACAGAGAGGUUGUCAAUCUCUCCGGCCUUGUAGUUUGCAAAGGAUCAAAACACAAGCGGGAAGGUAAUAGUGAUUGCAACGGAAAAGUAAAUGAAAGUGGUAAAUGAUGGAGGUGUAAAUAAUGAUGGUGAUCUGGAUCGGAGUCACAUGAUGUUCACUAGUGAUGUCUCUCUCCCAAAAUACAAUAAACAACUAUGCUUGGGUAAACAAAUCACAGUUGGGCAAUUGAUAGAAUUAUGAACGCACCGCAAUGCUAAUUAUGCUACUUGAUAGUUAGAGGUUCAACAGUAAUGGGCAGUAUGCCAAGACAAGUACACCGUUUAUUCAUCAGCAUCUACUUACUAAUCAUCCACCUUGAGAUAUCUAUCUAGAACAUCUCACCGAUAUUAAGUUGCGAGCUCCACCCAAAGUGUAAACUCAAAGCAACGGACAACUGCAUUAACGAACUAUGCGUAAGGUAAACAAUCCUUGCAACCAUGGUCACAAGCACCGUUGUUUUCUUCCUGGUGGCAACAUCGCAUGCCCUAGUCUCAUGUUUCUGUCACUCAAGCUAGACAUCGAGGGACAUGAACCCACAACCAUGCAUAACGCUCCUUCUUGGAGUUACAACCUACUACUCGGCCAAAGCAAUAAAUAGCAACGAAGAACAUGCAUGAAUCACUAAGGAACAUAAUAUAGAAGGAUAAUCAAAUAUAUAACUCAUAAAAAUCUGAAUAUAAUCUCAUAAUCCAUCAGAUCCCAACAAACUGAGCAGAGCAAUAGCAAGAGAAUUACAUAGAUGCCUUGAUCAUGUAAGACAGCUCACAAGGACUAACCAUUGAAGCACAAGAUUGGAGAGAAGACUUCACAUAGCUACUCGUCAUGGACCCAUGGUCCAAGGAGGACUACUCACGGCACGACUGGGAAGCAUCCAUGGCGGUGGAGAAGCUCCUGGAGGUCAAUCCUCCCUCCGGCCGGCUGCCAGGAAGAGGUCUCGUGACGCUCCCGACAUCGAAAGUGCUGCUGCGGCGAAACGAUGGAGAAAUUCAUGAUUCUAGAAGUUGUGGAAGGGUUUCCUCUCGGGACUCUACAUAUAGGCCAAAGGAGGGCACCGGAGGAGAUGGGGCCCACCCAGGCGGCCUCCUAGCACGGCCUAGGGCCUGGUCAUGCCAGCAGGUCGCCUGGGCAGCCACUAGCCCCCCUCUGGCCCAUCUUCGGUGAUCCGGAAGCUUCUGUUUCGCUGACUUUUUAUAUAUUUUUCCUGAAAUUUUUCGAGCUUCAGAAAAUUGAGUAAAGGCCCAUGCAAAAUGGACAUCAGCAGACAGAAACUUGCACUGGGUGCACUGAGUUAGUAGGUUAGUCCAAAUAUGUGUAAAAUGAUAUAAAAGUGUAGCAAAACAUAUAAUAAUGUCACCCAAAAGAUCAUGGAACAAGCAAAAAUUAUAGAUACAUUUGGGAGGUAUCAAGGUCACACACAACAAGCACAAAAAACUACGAGAAACUGAAGCAUCCCUAUGAGAAAAUGCGAGAAAGAUACAAGGAAACUUCAACGCUGAGAACAAAUCGGUAGUCCCUUCUCCACUCUACUUUCUGUAAUUCACAAACGCACAUGCAUGUACGCAUGUGCACGCGCACACGCACAAGCACACACACACACAUAUAUAUAUAGCUUGUCACAAAACUAGUUAACGUUUUUGACCGUGCAGAAGUUUCUAAAAAUUAAAAAAAUAACUCAAACACCACACCUAUAAUAUAAGAUGAUCCAAUAGAGCGAUUGAAAAAAUAAUAAUUUUAUGUUUUUGGAUAAAAACAAGUAGGCCAGUAUAUAUUUGAUGUCAGCGCGAGCUGAAAUGCUUGUUUUUUUUAGGACACAUAAAUUCAUAUUUUCACAAUCCCUGUGUUGAAUCAUCUUGCUACAUUAAAGAGAUGGUACUCUAUUUAUUUCAUAUUUUUUGGUAACUUUUAAACCGUUAAAAGCUGGGCGAGCCUAAACAAGUUCUAUGGCAAGCUAUGGUAGACACAAUUUUGCUUAAUGUGAAUUGCUAGUUGUAAUGUGCUUAAUGUGCAUUGCUAGUUGUAAUAGUCAUCUCCAAACCUUGUGACGUAACUUGUUUAAGCUUGUAGUGCUUACUUCUAUUUGCAUGUAUCAUUAAAGUAGAUGAUGCCUCAUGCGUUGUUGUGAACAAAUAUUUCAAUUGAUUACAAUGAUAUUUGAUUGCGUGGAAUAAUAUUUGGAUUAAUGACACGUGAACCAGAAUUAAAAAUACACAUGAUAAUUGAAGUAUUUAUUGAAUAGGAAGAAUAGAAUUUUUUUCAUCCAAUGUUUCCUGUGGUGGUGGUGGGUCUUUUUCCAUCCGUGGUUGCACAUUUGUCCUUAUUGCAUGGUGAUGUGUCCUCCUUGCAUGUUGAGAUAGAUAAGGUAGUGAGGAUCACUCUCUUAGGUACAUAUAGGAUUUCAUAUAUUGUGAUACAACAUGUGCAAGCUUGUAUUACUUACUUGUGAUUGUGUGUAUUAUUAAUUUUCAUAUCUUGUGAUACACCUUGUGUAAGUUGGUGCAACUUUCGUGCGCUUGCUAGUAUUCUAGUUAUGCCCAUCUUGCUUAGCUUAAGUUGCUGGUGCACUUGGUUGAGCCUAGUAUAUUUAGGAUUUGUGCUCCAAGAGUAUCUGCCGAGUUCAUUUUGGCAUUAGGUUAAAUCCAAAACUAUAAAAAAAAAUACUUAUUCACCAACCUCUAGGCGACAUCUUGGUCUUUUAGAUAGACACACAUGAGAUAUCUACGCAGUGUGUGGUAUGAAGGGCACCGGUGUCCACUCAAAAAAUCAUUUUACUACAAAUAUUUAUCAUGCAACAUGGGAUUAAUUGAAGCUAACUUGAUCACUUGUAAAUAUGAGCAAAAGGCCGCAUUGUCUAGGCACUACUAAUAAGUUCACACUUGAGGACACGAGUUUAAAAAUUUACAAGUUUGUACCUGACUUGAAGAGACAAAGCACUAUUAUGUUAAAAAGGCCACCCUAAACCAUGCUAUAAUGUUAACAUGUUCAAGAGCCUCAAAAAACAAAUAUAAGACAUAAUGACUCCUCCAUACCCCACAAAAAAGUACCUUCGACAUGUGCAAAGUCGAUCAAGAAUAAUAAUUCUAUUGCUUUCUCUUAUGCUCCCUGAAAUAGCAUUUGCAAAAGAAAUGGUAAGGGAAGGUACAAACAUCAUGUUGGAAAUAUGCCCUAGAGGCAAUAAUAAAAUAGUUAUUUUAUAUUUUUUGUUUCUAGAUAAUCGUUUAUUAUCCAUGCUAUAAUUGUAUUGAACAAGACCCAAACUAUAAACGUAGCCUGUUGGUAAGCAUGUUGGUCAAAACAAUGUCCCUAGUGAGUUUGUAGUUGACUAGCCUAUUGGUCAAGGAUGGUUAACGUUUCCUAGCCAUAGACAGGUGUUGUCACUUGAUGACAGGAUCACAUCAUUAGGAGAAUGAUGUGAUGGACAAGACCCAAACUAUAAACGUAGCAUAUGAUAAUGUCGUUUUGUUGCUAUUGUUUUGUGCAUGUCAAGUAUUCAUUCCUAUGACCAUGAGAUCAUGUAACUCACUGACACCGGAUGAAUGCCUUAUGUGUAUCAAAUGUCGCAACGUUACUGGGUGACUAUAAAAGUACUCUACAUGCAUAUCCGAAGGUGUCCGUUGAGUAAGCAUGAAUCAAGACUGGGAUUUGUCACUCCGUGUGACAAAGAGGUAUCUCGGGGCCCACUCGGUAAUACAACAUAAAAAACAAGCCUUGCAAGCAAUGUGACUAAAGAGUUAGUCACGGGAUCUUGUAUUAUGGAAUGAGUAAAGAGACUUGUCAGUAACGAGAUUGAAAUAGGUAUGGAGAUGCCGACGAUCGAAUCUCGUGCGAGUAACAUACCGAAGGACAAAGGGAAUGAUAUACAGGAUUAUGUGAAUCCUUGACAUAGAGGUUCAACCGAUAAGAUAUUCGUACAAUGUGUAGGAUCCAAUAUGGACAUCCAGGUCCCGCUAUUGGAUAUUGGCCAGAGAGUGUCUUGGUCAUAUCUACAAAGUUCUCGAACCCGCAGGGUCUGCACACUUAAGGUCCAGUGAUGUUUUUGGUAUAGUUGAAUAUUGAUGUUGAUAACCGAAUGUUGUUCGGAGUCCCGGGUGAGAUCCCGGACGUCACGAGUGUCUCCGCAAUGGUCCGGAAACAAAGAUUGAUAUAUAGGAUUGUUGCAUUUGGCUUCCGGAAAGAUUUCGGGCAUUACCGGUAAAGUACGGGGAGUGACGAAUGGGUUUCAGGGUUUUACCGGGAGGGGCCACCCACCAUGGAGAGAACCUAAUAGGCCCAUGGGUGGCGCACCAGCCCUUAGUUGGCUGGUGAGGCCAACCCAAUAUGUCUAUUUUGGCUAGAGCAAAAAUAAAGGAAAGCAAAGAAACAAAAGAGAGGUGGCGCGCAAGAAGGAAAGGACUCCUUCACCAAACGGAAUUGAAGGAGGAGACCUUCUUCCUUGGCUCGUCUGACCCCGCCUACUUGGAGUAGGAGGCAAGGCAGCCACCCCUUGGUUCCUCCUAUAUAUAGUGGAGGUUUGAGAGGGUUUUUGCACCUCAAGCCUUUGUGCAAACCUCUCUCCCUACACUACUCCGUGACACACAUCAUAGCUAGAUCGGUACGACAUGGCCAAGCCCUGUCGGAGUAGCUCCACCAUCAUCACCAGCACGCCGUCAUGCUGCCGGAGAACUCAGCUAUAUCUUUGUCUCUCUUGCUGGAUCAACAGGGCAGAGAUCGUCAUUGAGCUGUACAUGUGCUGAACGCGGAGGUGCCGUCCGUUCGGAGCUAGAUCGGGACGGCAGCGAUUUGGAUCUCGAAGACGUUGCACUACAUCAACCGCAUUUCUUAACGCUUCCCUCUUAGCGAUCUACAGGGGUAUGUAGAUCUGAUCUCCAUCUCGUAGAUGAUCAUCACCAUGAUAGGUCUUCGUGUGCGUAGGAAACUUUUUGUUUCCCAUGCAACGUUCCCCAAGAGUGGCAUCAUGAGCUAGGUUCAUGCGUAGAUGAUAUCUCGAGUAGAACACAAAUGAGUUUGUGGGCGUUGAUGUUCAAUUUGCUUCCCUCCUUAGUAUUUUCUUAAGGUAUUGUUGGAUUGAAGCGGCCCGGACCAACCUUACACGUACGCUUACGAGAGACCGGUUUCAUCGACUGACAUGCAACUUGUUGCAUAAAGAUGACUGGUGGGUGUCUGUUUCUUAAACUUUAGAUGAAUCGGAUUUGACCGAGGCGGUCCUUGGAGAAGGUUAAAUAGCAAUUUUCAUAUAACCGUUAUGGCUUUGCGCAAGUAAGAUGCAAUCAUACUAGAUACCCAUAGCAGCCACGUAAAACCUGCAAUAACAAAUUAGAGGACAUCAAACUUGUUUUUGCAGGGUAUGCAUGUGAUGUGAUAUGGCCAAAGACAUGAUAUUAUAUAUUGGGUGUAUGAGAUGAUAACAUUUUAAUAGUUAAAUAUCGACUUGCACGUCGAUGCUACGGCAACCGGUGGGAGCCAUAGGGUUGUCUUUAAACUAACGUUUGUGCUUGCAGAUGCGUUUACUAUAUUUCUAGGUAGUAGCUUUAGUAUUAAUAGAAUAGAUAGCACGACAACCUCGAUGGCGGCACAUGAUGGAGAUCUUGAUGAUGUAGAUCAUGGUGUGGCGCCGAUGACGAUGAAGAUCAUGUCGGUGCUUUGGUCAUGGAGAUCAAGAAGCCCAAGAUCAUGUCCAUAUCAUCUCACUUAUGAUUUGCAUCUGACGUUAAUCCUUUUAUGCACCUUAUUUUUCUUAGAACGGUGGUAGCAUUAUAAGGUGAUCCCUCACUAAAAUUUCAAGAUAAAAUUGUGUUGUCCCCGACUAUGCACCGUUGUGACAGUCCGUCGUUUCGAGACACCACGUAAUGAUUGGGUGUGAUAGACUCAACAUUCACAAACAACGGGUGCAAAUCAGUUGCACACGCGGAACACUCGGGUUGAACUUGACGAGUCUAGCAUGUACAGACAUGGCCUUAGAAUACAAGAGACCGAGAGGUCAAGCAUGAAUCAUAUAGUUGAUAUGAUCAACAUGGAGAUGUUCACCACUGAAACUAUACUCAACUCACGUGAUGAUCAGACUUGAGUUAGUGAAUUUGGAUCACGCGACACUCGAAUGACUAGAGGGAUGUCUAUUUGAGUGGUUGUUUAUUAGUAAUAUGAUUAGCUAGACUAAAUUGUCUUGAACAUAGUCUAAAGUAAUCUUUGCAAAACUUUAUGUUGUAGAUCAAUGGCUCGCGCAGUAGCAACCCUGAAUUUCAAUACAUUCCUAGAGAAAGCUAAGCUCAAAGAUGAUGGUAGUAACUUUGUUGACUGGCCUCGAAAUCUGAGGCUUAUACUCCAAGCUGGGCAAAAGAAUUAUGUCCUUGAUGCAGCGCUAGGAGAUGAAGCACCCGCUACGGCUGACCUAGACGUUUUGAACGGUUGGCAAGCACGUAAGGAUGAAUACUCACUAGUUCAAUGUGCAGUUUUGUAUGGCUUAGAACUGGGACUUCAAAGACGUUUUGAACGUCAUGGAGAAUAUGAGAUGUUCCAGGAGUUGAAGUUUAUCUUUGAGAAGAAUGCCCGGAUCGAGAGGUAAGAGACCUCCGAUAAGUUCUAUCUGAGCUGGGGAUCGCUCUCCCGCAAGAAGCUAUCAGUGACAUAAUUCUUCAGUCACUUGCACCUAGCUAUAAGAGCUUUGUGUUGAACUAUAACAUGCAAGGGAUGAAUAAGUCACCCGACGAGUUAUUUGCGAUGCUGAAAGUCGCUGAGUCAGAAAUCCAGAAAGAACAUCAAGUGUUGAUGGUCAAUAAGACCACUAGUUUCAAGAAAAACGGCAAAGGCAAGAAGGGUAACUCCAAGAAGAGUGGCAAAGCUGUUGCCCCUCCGACGAAGAAACCCAAGGCUGGGCCUAAGCCGGAAAUGAGUGCUAUUAUUGCAAGGGGACUAGUCAUUUGAAGAGCAACUGCCCCAAGUAUGUGGCUAAUAAGAAGGCGGUCAACGCCAAACAAGGUAUAUAUGAUAUACAUGUUAUUGAUGUGUACCUCACCAAUUCUCGUAGUAGUGCUUGGGUAUUUGAAACCGGUUUUGUUGCUCACAUUUGCAACUCGAAACAGGAACCGCGGAAUAAACGAAGGCUUGCAAAGGAUGAAGUGACGAUGCACGUGGGAAAUGGUUCCAAGGUUGAUGCGAUCGCCGUCGGCACGGUCUGACUUCAGUUACCAUUGGGAUUAGUUAUGAACUUAAAUAAUUGUUAUUUGGUGCCUGCGUUGAGCAUGAACAUUAUAUCUGGAUCUUGUUUAUUGCGAGAUGGUUACUCAUUUAAGUCAAAGAAUAAUGGUUGUUCUAUUUAUAUGAGUAAUAUCUUUUAUGGUCAUGCACCCAAUGUGAGGGGUUUGUUCAUAUUGAAUCUCGAUUGUGAUGACACUCAUAUCCAUAACAUUGAGUCCAAAAGAUGUAGAGUUAACAAUGAUAGUGCCACUUUCUUGUGGCACUACCGCUUAGGUCAUAUUGGUGUUAAGCGCAUGAAGAAACUCCAUGCUGAUGGACUUUUAGAGUCACUUGAUUUUGAAUCACUUGACACAUGCGAACCAUGCCUCAUUGGCAAGAUGACUAAGACUGUGUUCUCUGGAACAAUGGAGCGUGCAAGCGACUUAUUGGAGAUCAUACAUACUGAUGUGUGGGGACCAAUGAGUAUAGAGGCGCGCAGCGGAUAUCGUUAUUUUCUCACCUUCAUUGAUGAUUUGAGUAGGUAUGGUUAUAUCUAAUUUAUGAAGCACAAGUCUGAAACAUUUGAAAAGUUUAAACAAUUUUAGAGUGAAGUUGAAAAUCAUCGUAGCUAGAAGAUCAAAUUCCUACGAUCUGAUCGAGGAGGAGAAAAUCUGAGUUUCGAGUUUGGUGCUCACUUAUGACAAUGUGGAAUUGUUUCAGAUUUGAGACCGCCUAAAACACCACAGUGUAAUGGUGUGUCCAAACGUUGUAAUCGUACUUUAUUAGAUAUAGUGCGAUCUAUGAUGUCUCUUACCGAUUUUCCAUUAUCAUUUUGGGGCUAUGCAUUGGAGACACCUGCAUUCACUUUAAAUAGGGCACCAUCAAAAUCCGUUGAGAUGACACCAUAUGAGCUAUGGUAUGGCAAGAAGCCAAAGUUGUCGUUUCUUAAUGUUUGGGGAUGUGAUGCUUAUGUCAAAAAGCUUCAGCCCGAAAAGCUGGAACCCAAAGUGGAAAAGUGUGUCUUCAUAGGUUACCUAAAAGAGACAGUUGGGUAUACCUUCUAUCACAGAUCCGAGGGCAAAGUGUUUGUCGCUAAGAACGGAGCUUUGCUUGAGAAAGAGUUUCUCUCGAAAGAAUUGAGUGGGAGGAAGAUAGAACUUGAUGAGGUUGCGGAACCUCUGCUUCAACAAGAUGGUGGCGCAGGGCAGAAAGAAAUUUUCGUCGAGGCAACACAAGUUGAAGAGGAAGCUAAUGUUGAUGAUCAUAAAGCUUCAGAUCAAGUUACUGUCGGACCUCAUAGGUCGACAAGAGAACGUACUGCUCCUGAGUUGUACGAUAAUUCUGUCUUGUCAACCAUAUUGUUGGACAACAAUGAGCCUGCGAAUUAUGAAGAAGCAAUGGUGGGCCCAGAUUCCAACGGAUGGUUAGAAGCCAUGAAAUCUAAGAUAGGAUCUAUGUAUGAAAACAAAGUAUGGAUUUUGGAAGUAUUACCUGAAGGUCGCAAGGCUAUUCAGAACAAAUGGAUCUUUAAUAAGAAGACGGACGCGGAUGGUAAUGUGACCGUUUAUAAAGCUCGAAUUGUGGCAAAGGGUUGUUCACAAGUUCAAGGAGUUGACUACGAUGAGACAUUCUCACCCGUAGCGAUGCUUAAGUCCGUCCGAAUCAUGUUAGCAACAACUACAUUUUUCGAUUAUGAAAUCUUGCACAUGGAUGUCAAAACGGCGUUCCUUAACGGGUUUCUUAAGGAAGAGUUGUAUAUGAUGCAACCCGAAGGUUUUGUCGAUCCAGAGAAUGAUGACAAGGUGUGCAAGCUCCAGCGAUCCAUUUAUGGACAGGUGCAAGCAUCUCGGAGUUGGAACCAGCGCUUUGAUGAGGUGGUCAAGGCAUUUGGGUUUAUACAAGUUUUUGGAGAAGCUUGUAUUUACAAGAAAGUGAGUGGGAGUUCUAUAGUGUUUCUAAUAUUAAAUGUGGAUGACAUAUUGUUGAUUGGAAACAAUGUGGAGUUUUUGGAAAUCCGAAAGGAUUACUUGAAUAAAAGUGUUUCAAUGAAAGACCUAGGAGAAGCUGCUUACAUAUUGGGCAUAAAGAUCUAUAGAGAUAGGUCGAGACGCCUAAUAGCUCUUUCACAAAGCACAUACCUUGAUAAAGUUUUGAAGAAGUUCAAAAUGGAACAAUACAAGAAGGGGUUCUUGCCUGUGUUACAAGGUAUAAAGUUGAGUAAGACUCAAUGUCUAGUAACUACAGAAGAUAGAGAAAAGAUGAGUGUCGUCCCCUAUGCUUCAGCCAUAGGUUCUAUCAGGUAUGCAAUGUUGUGCACAAGACCGGAUGUCAGCCUGGCCAUAAGUAUGGCUGGCAGGUUUCAAAGUGAUCUAGGAAUGGAACACUGGGCGGUGGUCAAGAAUAUUCUGAAGUACCUGAAAAGGAUUAAGGAAAUGUUUCUCGUUUAUGGUGGUGACGAAGAGCUUGUCGUAAAGGGUUACGUCGAUGCAAGCUUUGACACUGAUCCGGAUGACUCUAAGUUGCAAAACGGAUACGUAUUUGUUCUUAACGAGGGUGCGAUAAACUGGUGCAGUUCCAAGCAAAGCGCCAUAGUUGAUUCUACAUGCGAAGUGGAGUACAUAGCUAAGGAGGGUGUCUCGAUGAAGCAGUUCAUGUCAGAUCUUGGAGUAGUGCCAAGUGCACUGGAUCCAAUCAAUCUGUUCUGUGACAACAUUGGUUCCAUUGCUCUAGUCCAGGAACCAAGGUUUCACAAGAGGACCAGACACAUAAACCGACGCUUCAACGCCAUCCACGAUUACAUCAAGGAGGAGGACAUAAAUAUUUGCAAAGUGCACAGUGAUCUGAAUGUUGCAGAUCCGCUGACUAAACCUCUUCCACGAGCAAAGCAUGAACAACACCAGAAUUGUAUGGGCGUUAGAUUCAUUAAAUUGUAAAUCACAUGGAGAUGUGACGCUAGAUUAUAGACUCUAGUGCAAGUGGGAGACUGUUGGAAAUAUGCCCUAGAGGCAAUAGUAAAAUAGUUAUUAUUAGAUAUCUUGUUCCAAGAUAAUCAUUUAUUAUCCAUGCUAUAAUUGUAUUGAAUGGAAACAUAAAUACAUGUGUGGAUAUAUAGACAAAACAAUGUCCCUAGUGAGUCUCUAGUUGACUAGCCUAUUAGUCUAGGAUGGUUAAGGCUUCCUAGCCAUAGACAAGUGUUGUCACUUGAUGACGGGAUCACAUCAUUAGGAGAAUGAUGUGAUGGACAAGACCCAAACUAUAAAUGUAGCAUAUGAUCGUGUCAUUUUUUUGCUAUUGUUUUGUGCAUGUCAAGUAUUCAUUCCUAUGACCAUGAGAUCAUGUAACUCACUGACACCGGAGGAAUGCCAUGCGUGUAUCAAAUGUCGCAACGUUACUAGGUGACUAUAAAGGUACUCUACAGGCAUCUCCGAAGGUGUCCGUUGAGUUAGCAUGGAUCAAGACUAGGAUUUGUCACUACGUGUGACAAAGAGGUAUCUCGGGGCCCACUCGGUAAUACAACAUCACAAACAAGCCUUACAAGCAAUGUGACUAAAGAAUUAGUCACGGGAUCUUGUAUUACGGAACGAGUAAAGAGACUUGCCGGUAACGAGAUUGAAAUAAGUACGGAGAUGCCGACGAUCGAAUCUCGGGCGAGUAACAUACCGAAGGACAAAGGGAAUGAUAUACGAGAUUGUGUGAAUCCUUGACAUAGAGGUUCAACCGAUAAGAUCUUCGUACAAUAUGUAGGAUCCAAUAUGGACGUCCAGGUCCCACUAUUGGAUAUUGGCCAGAGAGUGUCUUGGUCAUGUCUACAUAGUUCUCGAACCCGCAGGGUCUGCACACUUAAGGUUCGGUGACGUUUUUGGUAUAGAUGAAUUAUUGAUGUUGGUAACCGAAUGUUGUUCGGAGUCCCGGAUGAGAUCCCGGACGUCACGAGUGUCUCCGGAAUGGUCCGUAAAUGAAGAUUGAUAUAUAGGAUUGUUGCAUUUGGCUUCGGGAGGGAUUUCGGGCAUUACCGAUAAAGUAUCGGGAGUAACGAAUGGGUUCUCGGGUUUUACCGGGAGGGUAUGCAGAGAACCUAAUAGGCCCAUGGGUGGUGCACGAGCCCUUAGUGGGCUGGUGAGACCAGCCCAAUAGGGUAUUUCGGCUAGAGCAAAAAUAAAGGAAAGGAAAAAAAAAGAGGAAGUGGCCAAGAAGGAAAGGACUCCUCCACCAAACCGAAUUGGAGGAGGAGACCUUCCUCCUUGGCUCGGCCGACCCCUCCUACUUGGAGUAGGAGGCAAGGCAGUCACGCCUUGGUUCCUUUUAUAUAUAGUGGAGGUUUGAGAGGGUUUUUACACCUAAACCCUUUGUGCAGACCUCUCUACAUCCACUACUUCGUGAUACAUCGUAGCUAGAUCGGUACGGCAUGGCGAAGCCCUGUCAGAGUAGCUCCACCAUCAUCACCGCCACGCCGUCAUGCUGCCGGAGAAUUCAGCUACCUCUUUGUCUCUCUUGCUGGAUCAAGAAGGUAGAGAUCGUCAUCGAGUUGUACGUGUGCUGAACGCGGCGGAGGUGUCGUCCAUUCGGUGCUAGAUCGGGAUGGAUCGUGGGACGGCGGCGAUUUGGGUCAUGAAGACGUUCCACUACAUCAACCGUGUUUUUUAAUGCUUCCCGUUUAGCGAUCUACAAGGGUAUGUAUAUCCGAUCUUCCUCUCGUAAAUGAUCAUCACCAUGAUAGGUCUUCGUGUGUGUAGGAAUUUUUUUGUUUCCCAUGCAACGUUCCCCAACACAUCAUUCAGUUAGAGAUUACCAAAAGCUGAGAUGAUUAUUCUAUUCACUUCUCUUCGAAAGGUUUAUUUCUCUGAGCUUGAGACCAACAUAGCCCUGUGACCAUUCAUUCAAAACAAGGGUGUUACAACAUAUAUUACUUGAAACUGAAGAAACAUGAACAACAAGCACCUAAGAUUAUUUAAUGGAACAAAUAUUCGACAAGAAAAUUGUAUGCAUGAGUCUUAGUUCUAAUUCUUAUACUAUCAACAUGUGUAUUUUUUUUACAUUACUAUUGUUUCUACAUAUGUGAGUACCAAUCUUAGCUUGAGUAUUGAGAAAUACAAUGCAUACUUGGAAGGUUCUAGAAAUAUGAAGAACACUUCAAGAAGCUUCGAUAAUAUUAUGGAGUAUCUGAAAAAGAGAAGUAUUUUGAAGAAGGUUCUAGAAGAUACAUGAAUAACCAUGACGGAUAUAUUUCAAUAAAACUCUAGACUUAUGGAAAGUUUUAGAGUAACAUAUUUUGGUGUAGUAGGAAAUGCCUAGAAAGUAGAUACUUUCCAUGAACACUCUAGAAUAAACAUUGGACAUGGUCCAUGCAAAAUAGUAUAGAAAUCUAGAAAUAAGAUAUUUGUAUGGAGAUCUCUAGAAUUGUGUUGUUGGGCUUGCAUGGUUGCCACUUAGAAAACAUCUAAAUGUGGUGUAAUACUAUAAAUAGUGGUGCCACACCUCCCAUGUAUGAAAGCAAGAAAUCAAGCAAGCUAUGAAGUAAGAGCUGCCAAGUAAGAAAGAUAGAGAUGUCAUAGUAGUAAGAUGUAGCGAGGGAUAAAGAGUUGUACCAAGUUUAUAGUUGUGGAUAAGGGUUGAGUUACCCCAUUGUGAGUGUAAUAUCUCUAGUCUGUGAAGGUCCUCAAGAGUGUGGGUAAUAGAGCCACCACAUGACGGUUCCUACAAUUCACCUUGGAGCCGAGGUAGCCCUCGAAUUUUUAACAUUGGUUGCCCACACGACGGUUCCUACAAUUCAUCUUGGGGCUAAGGUAGAUCUCGGAUUUUCAACAUUGAGUGUAUUAGGUCAGUUUGGCAACAUACACUAAAAGUGAAUUUCAACUGCAUUAUGUGAUGGAAAGAGGGGAAAAUAAGCGGCAACAUAAAGUAUUGACUCUAUAUUACAUGGAUCAACUAAUGUAGGCAAUAGUUGAUGCACCUUGCCUAAUUCAAACACUGGAGUAACAAGUAAGAACAAGUUCAUUUACAUAAGUGAAAGGUUUCAAAAUAUGGAAACGGCGAAGACACCGCACUUAUUCGAUUCCAUGGUGGACCAGUGGCGCCGCGUUAGUGUUAUGUUUCUUUAGUAUAUGCGUCGUUGUUAAGUGGUGCUCCAAAUUCAUCUUAAGUAUGUAGGCUAACUUUUGAUGGAGCGGAGCAAAGGCCUGUCGCUGGGAGGCUUGGGCCACAGGGGACCCCCCGCCCACCACCACCCCCACCCACGCGCGGGCCUUCUGUUGUUUACUCCCUUUGCAUUGAAAUUUCUUUCCACAUUAAAUCUUGUGUCCUUUGUGUUGAUUUGAUCUAACUAGCGUGUCUUAUCUUUAACGGGCGGCUCAACGAGCAACAUGAUGAGGACGAUCGAUCUGUAGGGUUUAGACCACAUGGCUAUGCAUCAUGACCUCUAUGUCCUUUCCUCAUCUUACCUAAUAAUAAAAGCAAAUAUAGCUUCUGUCGUCUGUCAUAAAAAGUACCCCUAAUGUUUGCAUGAAUUACCCCCUUAUGCCACCGACAAGUGAAAACACCGAUUCGUUUUUGAACUCCGAUUCAUCUCUUCCUUUUAAUUCCACAGUCCACGGCCCUUGGUUUCAUCACAAGCACAUGAUCAACCCAACUGGUUGGGCAAUCGUGUUUCCGCUCUUGAGACCCCGGUUUGAUCCCAUGAUCUCCCACCUUUUCUUAUUCGGG